UUAAGCGACUAAGCGUACACGGUGGAUGCCCUGGCAGUCAGAGGCGAUGAAGGGCGUGCUAAUCUGCGAUAAGCGCCGGUAAGGUGAUAUGAACCGUUAUAACCGGCGAUACCCGAAUGGGGAAACCCAGUGUGAUUCGUCACACUAUCAUUAACUGAAUCCAUAGGUUAAUGAGGCGAACCGGGGGAACUGAAACAUCUAAGUACCCCGAGGAAAAGAAAUCAACCGAGAUUCCCCCAGUAGCGGCGAGCGAACGGGGAGGAGCCCAGAGCCUGAAUCAGCAUGUGUGUUAGUGGAAGCGUCUGGAAAGGCGCGCGAUACAGGGUGACAGCCCCGUACACAAAAGCGCAUGUGCUGUGAGCUCGAUGAGUAGGGCGGGACACGUGGUAUCCUGUCUGAAUAUGGGGGGACCAUCCUCCAAGGCUAAAUACUCCUGACUGACCGAUAGUGAACCAGUACCGUGAGGGAAAGGCGAAAAGAACCCCGGCGAGGGGAGUGAAAAAGAACCUGAAACCGUGUACGUACAAGCAGUGGGAGCCCACCACCAAAGCAUUCUCUGGUGUUGAAGGCCCUGCAAAGCAGCAUCGCGGUGGCGGAGCGUCGUUUGCGACGCCCAACACACAAAACAAGCGGUGAAUGCUUUGGGGUGGGGUGACUGCGUACCUUUUGUAUAAUGGGUCAGCGACUUAUAUUCUGUAGCAAGGUUAACCGAAUAGGGGAGCCGGAGGGAAACCGAGUCUUAAUUGGGCGUUAAGUUGCAGGGUAUAGACCCGAAACCCGGUGAUCUAGCCAUGGGCAGGUUGAAGGUUGGGUAACACUAACUGGAGGACCGAACCGACUAAUGUUGAAAAAUUAGCGGAUGACCUGUGGCUGGGGGUGAAAGGCCAAUCAAACCGGGAGAUAGCUGGUUCUCCCCGAAAGCUAUUUAGGUAGCGCCUCGUGAAUUCAUCUCCGGGGGUAGAGCACUGUUUCGGCUAGGGGGCCAUCCCGGCUUACCAACCCGAUGCAAACUGCGAAUACCGGAGAAUGUUAUCACGGGAGACACACGGCGGGUGCUAACGUCCGUCGUGAAGAGGGAAACAACCCAGACCGCCAGCUAAGGUCCCAAAGUCAUGGUUAAGUGGGAAACGAUGUGGGAAGGCCCAGACAGCCAGGAUGUUGGCUUAGAAGCAGCCAUCAUUUAAAGAAAGCGUAAUAGCUCACUGGUCGAGUCGGCCUGCGCGGAAGAUGUAACGGGGCUAAACCAUGCACCGAAGCUGCGGCAGCGAACGUAUCACCCAAGACAACUUUACGGAGUUGACGAUUGACGGAGCGAAGCGACGUCAAAGCGUUCAUUAAAGUCGAGUUGGCUUAGGGAUACGUUCGUUGGGUAGGGGAGCGUUCUGUAAGCCUGUGAAGGUGUGUCGUGAGGCAUGCUGGAGGUAUCAGAAGUGCGAAUGCUGACAUAAGUAACGAUAAAGCGGGUGAAAAGCCCGCUCGCCGGAAGACCAAGGGUUCCUGUCCAACGUUAAUCGGGGCAGGGUGAGUCGACCCCUAAGGCGAGGCCGAAAGGCGUAGUCGAUGGGAAACGGGUUAAUAUUCCCGUACUUGGUGUUACUGCGAAGGGGGGACGGAGAAGGCUAUGUUGGCCGGGCGACGGUUGUCCCGGUUUAAGCGUGUAGGUGUGUGUUCCAGGUAAAUCCGGUUCACUUUAACACUGAGGCGUGAUGACGAGGCACUACGGUGCUGAAGCAACAAAUGCCCUGCUUCCAGGAAAAGCCUCUAAGCAUCAGGUAACAUCAAAUCGUACCCCAAACCGACACAGGUGGUCAGGUAGAGAAUACCAAGGCGCUUGAGAGAACUCGGGUGAAGGAACUAGGCAAAAUGGUGCCGUAACUUCGGGAGAAGGCACGCUGACACGUAGGUGAAGUGAUUUACUCACGGAGCUGAAGUCAGUCGAAGAUACCAGCUGGCUGCAACUGUUUAUUAAAAACACAGCACUGUGCAAACACGAAAGUGGACGUAUACGGUGUGACGCCUGCCCGGUGCCGGAAGGUUAAUUGAUGGGGUCAGCGCAAGCGAAGCUCCUGAUCGAAGCCCCGGUAAACGGCGGCCGUAACUAUAACGGUCCUAAGGUAGCGAAAUUCCUUGUCGGGUAAGUUCCGACCUGCACGAAUGGCGUAAUGAUGGCCAGGCUGUCUCCACCCGAGACUCAGUGAAAUUGAACUCGCUGUGAAGAUGCAGUGUACCCGCGGCAAGACGGAAAGACCCCGUGAACCUUUACUAUAGCUUGACACUGAACAUUGAGCCUUGAUGUGUAGGAUAGGUGGGAGGCUUUGAAGUGUGGACGCCAGUCUGCAUGGAGCCGACCUUGAAAUACCACCCUUUAAUGUUUGAUGUUCUAACGUGGACCCGUAAUCCGGGUUGCGGACAGUGUCUGGUGGGUAGUUUGACUGGGGCGGUCUCCUCCUAAAGAGUAACGGAGGAGCACGAAGGUUGGCUAAUCCUGGUCGGACAUCAGGAGGUUAGUGCAAUGGCAUAAGCCAGCUUGACUGCGAGCGUGACGGCGCGAGCAGGUGCGAAAGCAGGUCAUAGUGAUCCGGUGGUUCUGAAUGGAAGGGCCAUCGCUCAACGGAUAAAAGGUACUCCGGGGAUAACAGGCUGAUACCGCCCAAGAGUUCAUAUCGACGGCGGUGUUUGGCACCUCGAUGUCGGCUCAUCACAUCCUGGGGCUGAAGUAGGUCCCAAGGGUAUGGCUGUUCGCCAUUUAAAGUGGUACGCGAGCUGGGUUUAGAACGUCGUGAGACAGUUCGGUCCCUAUCUGCCGUGGGCGCUGGAGAACUGAGGGGGGCUGCUCCUAGUACGAGAGGACCGGAGUGGACGCAUCACUGGUGUUCGGGUUGUCAUGCCAAUGGCACUGCCCGGUAGCUAAAUGCGGAAGAGAUAAGUGCUGAAAGCAUCUAAGCACGAAACUUGCCCCGAGAUGAGUUCUCCCUGAGACUUAGAGUCUCCUGAAGGAACGUUGAAGACGACGACGUUGAUAGGCCGGGUGUGUAAGCGCAGCGAUGCGUUGAGCUAACCGGUACUAAUGAACCGUGAGGCUUAACCUU
rnacentral:rRNA from 1 species